UCCUUAAAUCUGUCGGCAUUGGCAAAAC
rnacentral:piRNA from 1 species